CUGUUAAACAUUUAAUAGAAUAAUAAUUAUUAAGGAUAUAUAAAAUGAAUUUAUAUAAGUUGAAUUGGGGCAUUGUGUGCCAUUUCAGUGAAUUUGAACAAUCUGCCAAAGGAUUAUGAUUCUUUCCUGCAUUUGAGGGCUUGCUUCACAAUUAAGAAGAAACAACAAGAUGUGCUUGGUUUCCUAGAAGCCAACAAAAUAGGAUUUGAAGAAAAAGAUAUUGCAGCCAAUGAAGAGAAUCGGAAGUGGAUGAGAGAAAAUGUACCUGAAAAUAGUCGACCAGCCACAGGUUACCCCCUGCCACCUCAGAUUUUCAAUGAAAGCCAGUAUCGCGGGGACUAUGAUGCCUUCUUUGAAGCCAGAGAAAAUAAUGCAGUGUAUGCCUUCUUAGGCUUGACAGCCCCACCUGGUUCAAAGGAAGCAGAAGUGCAAGCAAAGCAGCAAGCAUGAACCUUAAGCACUGUGCUUUAAGCAUCCUGAAAAAUGAGUCUCCAUUGCUUUUAUAAAAUAGCAGAAUUAGCUUUGCUUCAAAAGAAAUAGGCUUAAUGUUGAAAUAAUAGAUUAGUUGGGUUUUCACAUGCAAACAUUCAAAAUGAAUACAAAAUUAAAAUUUGAACAUUAUGGUGAUUAUGGUGAGGAGAAUGGGAUAUUAACAUAAAAUUAUAUUAAUAAGUAGAUAUCGUAGAAAUAGUGUUGUUACCUGCCAAGCCAUCCUGUAUACACCAAUGAUUUUACAAAG
rnacentral:lncRNA from 10 species